AUUGAACGCUGGCGGCAGGCCUAACACAUGCAAGUCGAACGGUAACAGGAAGCAGCUUGCUGCUUCGCUGACGAGUGGCGGACGGGUGAGUAAUGUCUGGGAAACUUCCUGAUGGAGGGGGAUAACUACUGGAAACGGUAGCUAAUACCGCAUAACGUCGCAAGACCAAAGAGGGGGACCUUAGGGCCUCUUGCCAUCGGAUGUGCCCAGAUGGGAUUAGCUAGUAGGUGGGGUAACGGCUCACCUAGGCGACGAUCCCUAGCUGGUCUGAGAGGAUGACCAGCCACACUGGAACUGAGACACGGUCCAGACUCCUACGGGAGGCAGCAGUGGGGAAUAUUGCACAAUGGGCGCAAGCCUGAUGCAGCCAUGCCGCGUGUAUGAAGAAGGCCUUCGGGUUGUAAAGUACUUUCAGCGGGGAGGAAGGGAGUAAAGUUAAUACCUUGGCUCAUUGACGUUACCCGCAGAAGAAGCACCGGCUAACUCCGUG
rnacentral:rRNA from 1 species